rnacentral:tRNA from 1 species
GGAAACGUGGGUGAGUGGUCGAAACCAGCUCCCUGCUAAGGAGCCAGGCCCGCAAGGGUCUCGCGGGUUCGAAUCCCGCCGUUUCCGCCA